CAGCUGUUUCUUUGAGCUGUGCUGAAUGUGGGUCUGAUCGUGCAUUGUUCUUUGAGUUUUCUGGUUUGACUGUAUAUCUCUUGUAGUCUUCCUGAUGACUGUUGGUGACUCGCUGCUGCUCAGCUCAACCAGCUCCUGCGCUGUGGGACGGUGCUCGUGCAGGCAGAGGACUUCUCCUGAUGAGAGGCUGGAGAGAGCUGGGGCACGUACAAAGUGUGGCUGAAGCCUGUUUCUGCUGACCAGCAACUGCUUUGGGUUACCAUUAACUCACUGCCAUGUUGGACACUUGUACAUCAGUUCAUGGGAGAUACUGCUGUUAAAUCUCAUCUUAAACCCUACAUGAAACCCAAUAACUACUGUCGUGUGAAGAGACAUCUGCAUGUUUGCGUGGGCUUCGCAGUCUCUUACUCAGGCUUUCCUUUCAUGACAUUUAGGAGGAAAGGAGGAAAGGAAACUGCUGUUGAAUAUGAGAUGCUUGGGAUUUCUGUUUUAUUAUACUUUUUAAAUAUUUGAACUCUGCUUCAGGACGGAACAAAUUAGAGUUGAAACUGCAGGGUGGACAGAACCUAAUUAUUUCUGCCCAAAUUCCUUUCUUCAAUAGAGGUAGUAUCGUCCGAAAAAAGCAAAAUAGAAUGAAUAGCUGAAGCCCUAUAUAGAGCUAAUAGUCCUGUAUCAAGGUUGUUCAGAUAGGCUGCUUUGCUAUGUUUUGUUUCUUUUUCUUCCUUUUUUUUUUAUUCCAAGUCCCCUAGCCCCUCUGCCUCCUUUUGUUAUUCAGUAUGUGUUUGUCACAGACUGUGUCUUGUUUAGAAACAAAUGCAUUCAGACAUCUUUGGUACUUACAAAAGCAUAGUCUCAUAUUACGGCAAUCAUUAACAUAACAGUAACACACAAGAGUUGUUCCAGCAUAUUGAAAAACCUGUGAAGCUUUCAGUGCACUCAGUGACUGUAUGAGAUAGCAAUGAAAGGCAAAUAUCUACCUAAAUGUGAAUUUCCACCUCACUGUAACAUCUAAAUGGAAUUACAUCCCGCAUUGUUGAGAAGAUUCAUUAAAGGGACAUAGAAUCUUAA